rnacentral:rRNA from 1 species
GUAGAUUAUCUGCCCUCAGGUUUGGGAUAGCUGCGGGAAACUGCAAGUAAUACCAAAUAAUAUCUCCGGAUCAAAGGUGUGAUUCCGCCUGAGGAUGAGUCUGCCUCCUAUUAGCUUGUUGGUGGGGUAACGGCCUACCAAGGCAUUGAUGGGUAGCGGGUGUGAGAGCACGACCCGCGUCAUUGGGACUGAGACACUGCCCAGACACCUACGGGUGGCUGCAGUCGAGAAUCUUCGGCAAUGGACGCAAGUCUGACCGAGCGACGCCGCGUGUGGGAUGAAGGCCUUCGGGUUGUAAACCACUGUCAGAGGGGAUGAAAUGCAGGUGGGUACUCCCAUCUGUUUGACAUAGCCUCAGAGGAAGUACGGGCUAAGUUCGUGCCAGCAGCCGCGGUAAGACGAACCGUACGAACGUUAUUCGGAAUUACUGGGCUUAAAGGGUGCGUAGGCGGCGCGGAAAGUAGGGUGUGAAAUCCCUCGGCUCAACCGAGGAACUGCGCUCUAAACUACCGUGCUC